rnacentral:rRNA from 1 species
UACGUAGGUGGCAAGCGUUGUCCGGAUUUUACUGGGCGUAAAGAGCGACGCAGGCGGUCGUUCAAGUCGCGUGUGAAAGCCCCCGGCUCCAACUGGGGAGGGUCACGCGAUACUGAUCGACUCGAAGGCAGGAGAGGGAAGUGGAAUUCCCGGUGUAGUGGUCGAAAUGCGUAGAUAUCGGGGAGGAACACCAGUGGCGAAGGCGACUUCCUGGCCUGUUCUUGACUGCUGACGGCGCGGAAAGCUAGGGGAGCAAACGGGG